UACGGAGGGUGCAAGCGUUAUCCGGAUUCACUGGGUUUAAAGGGUGCGUAGGUGGGUUGGUAAGUCAGUGGUGAAAUCUCCAGGCUUAACUUGGAAACUGCCAUUGAUACUAUCAAUCUUGAAUACCGUGGAGGUCAGCGGAAUAUGUCAUGUAGCGGUGAAAUGCUUAGAUAUGACAUAGAACACCAAUUGCGAAGGCAGCUGGCUACACGAAUAUUGACACUGAUGCACGGAAGCGUGGGGAUCAAACAGG
rnacentral:rRNA from 1 species